rnacentral:rRNA from 1 species
GUUUCUGCGCCGAAGAUGUAACGGGGCUAAAAUCAUAUACCGAAUCUGUGGAUUUGUAAUUUCUUCGGAAAUUACAUCUGGUAGCGGAACGUUCUGUAAGCCUGUGAAGGAGUACCCGUGAGGGACUCUGGAGGUAUCAGAAGUGCGAAUGCUGACAUAAGUAACGAUAAACGAAGUGAAAAACUUCGUCGCCGAAAAUCCAAGGGUUUCUGCGCAAGGUUAAUCCGCGCAGAGUUAGUCGGCACCUAAGGCGAGGGCGAGAGCCGUAGUCGAUGGAAAUAAGGUUAAUAUUCCUUAACCAGAUGGUAGUGACGAAUUUCAUAAGUUGUGAGUUCUUAAUGGAUUGAACUUGCUGCGAAGAAGUUCCAAGAAAUAGCUCCAUCAUUAGACCGUACCCUAAACCGACACAGGUGGAUUAAUAAAGUAUAUUUAGGCGCUUGAGAGAAUGAUGUUGAAGGAACUCGGCAAAAUGCUUCUGUAACUUCGGGAUAAAGAAGACCUUUUUUUAGGCAACUAUUAAAGGGUGGCACAAGCCAGGGAGAAGCGACUGUUUAUCAAAAACACAGGGCUCUGCUAACACGUAAGUGGAUGUAUAGGGUCUGACGCCUGCCCGGUGCUGGAAGGUUAAUGCGAUGGGUGCAAGCUCAUUUCUGAAGCCCCAGUAAACGGCGGCCGUAACUAUAACGGUCCUAAGGUAGCGAAAUUCCUUGUCGGGUAAGUUCCGACCUGCAUGAAUGGCGUAACGAUUUCUCCGCUGUCUCCAACAUCAACUCAGUGAAAUUGAAUUCUCCGUGAAGAUGCGGAGUUCGCGUAGUUAGACGGAAAGACCCCGUGCACCUUUACUGCAACUUUACAUUGGUGUUAGGAAAAACAUAUUUAGCAUAGGAGGGAGACAUUGAAGCAAAGGCGUCAGCUUUUGUGGAGUCGCCAGUGAAAUACCUCUUUUGUUUUUCUUGGCAUCUAACUGAUUGCCGUCAUCCGGCAUCAAGACAUUGUAUGGUGGGUAGUUUGACUGGGGCGGUCGCCUCCCAAAUAGUAACGGAGGCGUGCGAAGGUAGGCUCAGAACGGUCAGAAAUCGUUCGUAGAGUGCAAUGGCAUAAGCCUGCCUGACUGUGAGACUGACAAGUCGAGCAGAGUCGAAAGACGGUCAUAGUGAUCCGGUGGUUCUGAGUGGAAGGGCCAUCGCUCAACGAAUAAAAGGUACGCCGGGGAUAACAGGCUGAUACUGCCCAAGAGCUCAUAUCGACGGCAGUGUUUGGCACCUCGAUGUCGGCUCAUCACAUCCUGGGGCUGGAGCAGGUCCCAAGGGUUUGGCUGUUCGCCAAUUAA